UGCGGCUGGAUCACCUCCUUUCUAAGGAUAGCGGCGGUCAAGCGCUUCGGACUUCGGUCUGGAGAAGAGCUUCCUCCCAUUCCAGAGAACAUAUGCCGCCGUCCUCAUGUCCUUCAUCCUGGUUAGUCCGCGAGACGAAAUAGCGUCAGCUAUUUUGCACGCGGACAAGCUCGGCCAGCGCGGCGAAGCGCGCCAUAGGGCGCAGCUUUGCUGCGACUGACGGCGCGACGGGUGCGGGCCGGUAGCUCAGGUGGUUAGAGCGCACGCCUGAUAAGCGUGAGGUCGUAGGUUCAACUCCUACUCGGCCCACCAUCGCGAGUGAGGGGCUUUAGCUCAGCUGGGAGAGCGGUUGCUUUGCAAGCAUCAGGUCAUCGGUUCGAUCCCGAUAAGCUCCACCACUUGCCAUCAAAACCUAGAGAUGAAGACAACAGUUCCGCUGUCGCAAGGCAGCGGUAAUGGGUCGUGACGACCCUCUUUGACAUUGUGAAUGGGUUCUUAAAAUCGAUGCCGUGAUGGUGUCGGUUUGGACAAACGACCAUCUGGGUCGGCCGCAAGGCUGGCGCGGGUGAGCGUCUCCAGGCUGACUUCAAUCACUUAAUAUCUGGCUGAGAUGAUUAACAUCCACAUCAGCUGAGCCGCUCGGCGGCACGCUUCAUGCGUGUCGACGUGAGGCCAGUUAAAAACCACGCUCGCUGCUCUGCCGAGUUGGUGUUCCGCAAGGAAUGCCCAGCGU
rnacentral:tRNA from 1 species